GGGCCAGACUCCUACGGGAGGCAGCAGUGAGGAAUAUUGGUCAAUGGCCGAGAGGCUGAACCAGCCAAGUCGCGUGAGGGAAGACGGCCCUACGGGUUGUAAACCUCUUUUGUCGGGGAGCAAAGCGAGUCACGUGUGACUCAUUGAGAGUACCCGAAGAAAAAGCAUCGGCUAACUCCGUGCCAGCAGCCGCGGUAAUACGGAGGAUGCGAGCGUUAUCCGGAUUUAUUGGGUUUAAAGGGUGCGCAGGAGAAGGUGCAAGGCAGGGGUCAAAUUGCGGGGCUCAACCUCGUCGAGCCGUUGAAACUGGGUGCCUUGAGUGGGCGAGAAGUACGCGGAAUGCGUGGUGUAGCGGUGAAAUGCAUAAAUAUCACGCAGAACUCCGAUUGCGAAGGCAGCGUACCGGCGCCCAACUGACGCUGAAGCACGAAGGCGUGGGUAUCGAACAGGAUUAGAUACCCCUGUA
rnacentral:rRNA from 1 species